rnacentral:rRNA from 1 species
UACGGGAGGCAGCAGUAGGGAAUCUUCCGCAAUGGGCGAAAGCCUGACGGAGCAACGCCGCGUGAGUGAAGAAGGAUUUCGGUUCGUAAAGCUCUGUUGUUAGGGAAGAAUGAUUGUGUAGUAACUAUACACAGUAGAGACGGUACCUAACCAGAAAGCCACGGCUAAAUACGUGCCAGCAGCCGCGGUAAUACGUAGGUGGCAAGCGUUGUCCGGAAUUAUUGGGCGUAAAGCGCGCGCAGGUGGUUUAAUAAGUCUGAUGUGAAAGCCCACGGCUCAACCGUGGAGGGUCAUUGGAAACUGUUAAACUUGAGUGCAGGAGAGAAAAGUGGAAUUCCUAGUGUAGCGGUGAAAUGCGUAGAGAUUAGGAGGAACACCAGUGGCGAAGGCGGCUUUUUGGCCUGUAACUGACACUGAGGCGCGAAAGCGUGGGGAGCAAACAGGAUUAGAUACCCUGGUAGUCCACGCCGUAAACGAUGAGUGCUAAGUGUUGG